ACGGCGGUCACUCAGACAGACGGUGCCUACUAAAAGCAGCCGACCACCUUUCAAAACAAGAAGAGGGUCCUGCUGGGAGACACUGGCAGGAGAAGUCCCCGUUGUACUACAAGAACAUCAGUCUGGGCUUCAAGAGGCUAUUGAGGGCGCCCACAUUGACAAGAAAUGCCCCUUCACUGGGAAUGUCUCCAUUCGAGGGUGGGUCCUCUCUGGCGUGGUGACCAAGACGAAGAUGCAGAGGAUCAUUGUCAUCUGCCGAGACUGCACUACAUCUGCAAGUACAACCGCUUCAAGAAGGGCCACAAGAACAUGUCCGUACAACUGUCCCCCUGCUUCAGGGACGUCCAGAUCAGUGACAUCGUCACAGUGGGCGAGUGCCAGCCCCUGAGCAAGACGGUGCGCUUCGAUGUGCUCAAGGUCACCAAGGCCGCCAGCACCAAGAAGCAGUUCCAGG
rnacentral:lncRNA from 1 species